UCUGUUCAAUACGGUUUGAUCUCAUUUCAUUCUCACAUGAACCCUAUAGGGAAUAUCAUUCCAUUUCACAGACGAGAAACGGAGGCUCAGAGAGUUUAAGACACUGACCCAUGGCCACACAGCAAUAAUCUUCAGCGCCUGGGUGUCAAGGAGGUCCUGGCCCUACCGACAUGGCCCCCGCAUCCCCAACGGCGCGCUAGGUUGACGAGAUGAAGAGGAGUCGCAGUGCCCUGUCCGUGGCCGAGGUGCGAGGGGAGGGGAGACCGAGGGACACCCCCGAACCCGGCCGUGCCGGUAUGCUGGGGGCCGACCUGCGUCGCCCUCGCCGCCGCCUCUCGUCCGGUCCUGGCCUGGGCUGGGCCCAGCCUGAGCCCUCGGACCCUGGGGUCCCUCUGCCGCCACGGCCCACCACGCUGCCGCUGCUGAUCCCACCGCGGAUUUCCAUCACCAGGGCGGAGAACGACAGGUAGGUAGGAGAGGGAGCAGAGUGGGAGGUGGGCUGGGGAGUCACCGUACCAACUGGGCUAGGUCCAGCCACCAGCGCUUCCCGAUCUCCAUGCUCCUGCGGUUUGCAAAACUAGCUGAAACUUGUCCUGUGGCGGGCUGUGACACCCCUCCCCCAAGGCACCCUUUGCAGGCUCUAGGAACCCCUUCUUUCAUUGUCCAGCUGCCUGAGUCAGCACGGGGCAGGACUGAGGAAAGAGGUGUCCUGUCUCCAACCCCCAAGAUGCCCCCAUGUUCACAGAGCUGGGGCAGGUUGAUCAGGCGGCUGUGCACCCGCCUUAGCGUCCCCUGCUGGGAGGAUCAGGUUUCUUCCCCGCCUUGAAGGGGAUAGUGGGGUCUUGGAAGGGGUCUGAACUAGCAUUUUUCUUUCUCCUAGGGAGAUGUGAGAAAUAUCUGUGAGCUCUGGGUUCACACAACAUCUCUUGCUGAUCCUCAUCUGGGGACCUACCGGGUACCCAGCCAGUUUCCCAGGGUAAUCAACCCCCCUCUUGGCUCAAGAAUGAGCAGUAAAGUCAGACAGCUGAGCUGGUCCUGGCUUUUGGCCGGCCCCUGCACCCUGCCCCCAUGCCCUCCUCUGGUCUCUGCUCUCUGCAGUUCCAAUCCACCCCCACCCCCAUCUACUCAAUUGGUGGGUUCUAGGGUCUCUGUUUCCGUCAUGGUCCAAUGGUUCAUUUCCAGAUAGGGAGAGCAAGUGACUGUCACUCGCCUCUUGCACUGCUUAAUUAUACCUCCCCUUGCCCAUCCCAGGAGCCUCAGGUCCAGUCGGUUUAUCCCCUGCUCACCCCACUGCUCCUCGUUUCCUCUUUCUUCUACAACCCCAGCUGUGGCCUGACACCCCCACCCACCUCACAUUACUCACCCACACCCCCUUCCAGAUCUCUAACCAACGUUACAGCACCCCUCCCCCCCAGAAUUUGGCCCAGCCCAGGACUUUCAAAUAUGAUCUGGGGAGAACUCGCAGCCCCUGCAAAUUCCCUAGAAGACGUUUUGAGUGUGUACUGAGGGGGGUGUUCCUGAGAGAAGUGGGGGACACAGUGCUGGCGCCUGGGAUACCCCGCGGCUGCCGAUGAGGGGACCGGUUUUUGCUCGGCGUUCGCCCACGCCGGGAGCCCCCUCUGGCGGGGAGGAAAGUGGCUGUGGGGGUUGAAAAGACGGGCAGUCUUUUUUUUUUUUUUUUUAAAUAAGG